rnacentral:rRNA from 1 species
UACGGGGGGGGCAAGCGUUGUUCGGAAUUACUGGGCGUAAAGGGCUCGUAGGCGGCCCACUAAGUCGGACGUGAAAUCCCUCGGCUUAACCGGGGAACUGCGUCCGAUACUGGAUGGCUUGAAUUCGGGAGAGGGAUGCAGAAUUCCAGGUGUAGCGGUGAAAUGCGUAGAUAUCUGGAGGAAUACCGGUGGCGAAGGCGGCAUCCUGGACCGACAUUGACGCUGAAGCGCGAAAGCUAGGGGAGCAAACGGG